ACGGGAGGCAGCAGUGGGGGAUAUUGCACAAUGGGGGAAACCCUGAUGCAGCGACGCCGCGUGAGUGAUGAAGUAUUUCGGUAUGUAAAGCUCUAUCAGCAGGGAAGAAAAUGACGGUACCUGACUAAGAAGCACCGGCUAAAUACGUGCCAGCAGCCGCGGUAAUACGUAUGGUGCAAGCGUUAUCCGGAUUUACUGGGUGUAAAGGGAGCGUAGACGGAUGGCUAAGUCUGAUGUGAAAGGUGAGGGCUCAACCCUUAAACUGCAUUGGAAACUGGUCAUCUAGAGUGUCGGAGAGGUAAGUGGAAUUCCUAGUGUAGCGGUGAAAUGCGUAGAUAUUAGGAGGAACAUCAGUGGCGAAGGCGGCUUACUGGGCUUUAACUGACGCUGAGGCUCGAAAGCGUGGGGAGCAAACAGGAUUAGAUACCCUGGUA
rnacentral:rRNA from 1 species